AACACUAGUAUUGUCUGUGGUGGGAUUUAACCUCAAGUCUUUUGACUCCAGAAAUAGUGCUCUUUGUAGGUCUAAGAUGAUAUUUGAUGAUAUGAAAAUUUUCUUCUCUGAAGUUUUUAUGGUAUUUCUCAACUCAGACACCCACGGACAAGUUUCGGUAACUCAGUCCCCAGCCUUUUUGUCUGGGUCCCCGGGAGAGAGCAUCACCACCACCUGCAAGACCAGUAAGAGUAUAAUUGGAAGCCAAGGCACCAGCUUCAUGCACUGGUACCAACAGAAGCCUGGCCAAGUCCUGAGGUUACUCAUUUACCACGCUUCUAUGGUGGCCUCUGAGGUCCCUGCACGGUUCAGCGGCUCUGGGUCCGGGACAGAUUUCACAUUUAUAAUCAGUAGUGUGGAAGUAGAAGAUGCUGCUGAUUAUUACUGUCAGCAGGGCUAUAAUGUUCCUUACCCACAGUUCUCUAGUCCAGAUCUUAAACAACCCUAG